rnacentral:lncRNA from 1 species
UGCAGAAAGUGUCGUUUAAGCAAUAGUUGAAACGGUGGUAAAAAACUGUUUUUUGUAUACUUUUUUCCUAAAAUUAAAUGUGUUUUAAUUUUCCGUUUAAAUGAUUUUUUCCUUUACAACUGCUUGGUAAAUGUUACCUUGGUGUCGAUGAUUUCAGAGUCUACCUCAGAAGCAUUAUUUUCAAGCCUGUCAUAUGAUCUAAAUAUACAUCAUACUAUUUU